rnacentral:rRNA from 1 species
UACAGAGGUCUCAAGCGUUGUUCGGAUUCAUUGGGCGUAAAGGGUGCGUAGGCGGCGCGGUAAGUCGGGGGUGAAAUCUCGGAGCUUAACUCCGAAACUGCAUUCGAUACUGCCGUGCUUGAGGACUGGAGAGGAGACUGGAAUUUACGGUGUAGCGGUGAAAUGCGUAGAUAUCGUAAGGAAGACCAGUGGCGAAGGCGGGUCUCUGGACAGUUCCUGACGCUGAGGCACGAAGGUCAGGGGAGCAAACGGG